rnacentral:rRNA from 1 species
GAUGAACGCUAGCGGCAGGCUUAAUACAUGCAAGUCGUGGGGCAGCAGGGGUAGCAAUACCCGCUGGCGACCGGCAAACGGGUGCGGAACACGUACGCAACCUUCCUUUAACUGGAGAAUAGCCCCUCGAAAGAGGGAUUAAUACUCCGUAACAUGUACAUGUGGCAUCACAAGUACAUUAUAGCUCCGGCGGUUAAAGAUGGGCGUGCGCCUGAUUAGAUAGUUGGCGGGGUAACGGCCCACCAAGUCUGCGAUCAGUAACUGGUGUGAGAGCACGACCAGUCACACGGGCACUGGGACACGGGCCCGACUCCUACGGGAGGCAGCAGUAAGGAAUAUUGGUCAAUGGACGCAAGUCUGAACCAGCCAUGCCGCGUGGAGGAUUAAGGCCCUCUGGGUUGUAAACUCCUUUUAUCUGGAAGAAAUCCGGGAAUUCUUUUCCGGUUGACGGUACCAGAGGAAUAAGCACCGGCUAACUCCGUGCCAGCCGCCGCCGUAA